GUCCAGACUCCUACGGGAGGCAGCAGUGGGGAAUAUUGGGCAAUGGGCGCAAGCCUGACCCAGCAAUGCCGCGUGAAGGAAGAAGGCCUUCGGGUUGUAAACUUCUUUUAUCAGGGACGAAGGAUGUGACGGUACCUGAUGAAUAAGCUCCGGCUAACUACGUGCCAGCAGCCGCGGUAAUACGUAGGGAGCAAGCGUUAUCCGGAUUUACUGGGUGUAAAGGGCGCGUAGGCGGGAUGGCAAGUCAGAUGUGAAAUCCCGCGGCUCAACCGCGGAACUGCAUUUGAAACUGUGCUUCUUGAGUGCUGGAGAGGCAGACGGAAUUCCUAGUGUAGCGGUGAAAUGCGUAGAUAUUAGGAGGAACACCAGUGGCGAAGGCGGUCUGCUGGACAGUAACUGACGGUGAGGCGCGAAAGCGUGGGGAGCACACAGGAUUAGAUACCCGAGUA
rnacentral:rRNA from 1 species